rnacentral:rRNA from 1 species
UACAGAGGUCUCGAGCGUUAGGCGGAAUCACUGGGCUUAAAGCGUGUGUAGGCGGGGCGUUAAGUACCUUGUGAAAUCCCAUGGCUCAACCAUGGAACUGCUGGGUAUACUGGCGAUCUUGUGCAACCUAGGGGCGAGCGGAACAGAUGGUGGAGCGGUGAAAUGCGUAGAUAUCAUCUGGAACGCCAAUGGUGAAAACAGCUCGCUGGGGGUUUGCAGACGCUGAGACACGAAAGCCAGGGGAGCGAACGGG